CUCCGAGUUGACCCCGGCAGUCUCCCAUGAGUCCCCGGCACUACCCGCUGGCAACAUGGGACGAGGGUUGCGCUCGUUGCGGGACUUAACCCAACAUCUCACGACACGAGCUGACGACAACCAUGCACCACCUGUACACCGACCUUGCGGGGAGCACAUCUCUGCACUUUUCCGGUGUAUGUCAAGCCUUGGUAAGGUGGGGAUGACGUAUAGGAACACCAAC
rnacentral:misc_RNA from 1 species